CAAAUAAGAACCUGCUGAAAAAACAUGAAAUAAACUUAAAAUCAAAUGCAGUACCUAUCAAUCAGAAAGAAAGCAGUCAACUCACCUCUCAAACAGUCUUGCAGAUUUGGAGUAUAGGUAGUAGGAGAUGGGAAGGAUCAAGCCUCAAGCUCUGCUGAAACAGAGCAAGAAGAAGAAAGCGCCGAGUCGAAUGAGCUUCGCUACUAUUCUCUCAUGCUGCUUCAUUUUUAUAUUAACUGUAUUUUUCUUAUAUUCUACGUAUAAAAACUGGUCGCUAAGGUAUGUCAAGUUCAAAGUUUGAUGAUUUAUCCUUUGUGCUGUAAUAUUUGAUGAUGAUUUACAGUUUGGAUGCCCCAAACUACUUGGAUUUGGAUCUCUAUUUUUCUGCACGCACGUUGGCUAAAAUAUUUUUUCAUUGUGGAAAUGCAAUGUGUUGAUUAUCAGGAAAUUGAAGAGGUGGAUACAGAUGAGCACUAUCAACCUAAAUCUCAUGUAGAUGUGACCAUGAAACAGAAAGUCUAAAAGCUGACCUACAAAUCCGAAGCUUUUCCAUGUUGCUUUAGUCGUCCAUCCCACAUUGCAUUUUACCAGCCAAACUUGCGACAAGGAGAGGUAGAGCAUUUAGGGUUCGUCCAUCCUGCAUCGCAUUUUUCCAGCCAAACUUGCCAUGGGGACAGCAGUGCAUUUAGGGACGAGUCAUUCCAUUAGAGGUGCCACCAUGAAUUGGUUCAAGCUAUUAAAUUAGCAUGUAUAGCGAGCCAGCUCUAUUCUAGUGAUUUUAUUUCUCACGCUGGAUAAUACAACAAUUUUACAAUGUAUAAAGAAUGGGAUGUAAUUUUACUUGGAACAAUUAAAGAGACUGAUUUUGCCGCA